rnacentral:sRNA from 1 species
GCCGGGCGCUGUGACGCACGCCAGUAAUCCCAGCAGCUCGGGAGGCUGAGGCAGGAGGAUUGCGAGUUCAAAGCCAGCCUCAGCAACUUAGUGAGGCUCUAAGCGACUCAGCGAGACCCUGUCUCUA